rnacentral:lncRNA from 1 species
CUCGGUUGGUGUCCUAACAAUUUCGAUUGCUGUUGCCCCUCCAUCAGGGAUUCGGGAACAAUUCGUUUCCACGUGAAUCGGUGAUUGACAUGAUUGAGAACAAAGAGUCCUCGUCCUGGACGUUAAGCAGCUUGCUCCCGCCACCCUUUUCUGAAUGGACAUUAGCAGCCAUAUAUAUCGUUGUUACAGAAAUUUUGUUCGCGAAAACAACUAUGUUUU